CGCGAAUUCGCCCUUCGGGGUGCAGCAGGCGCGAAAACUUUACAAUGCGGGAAACCGUGAUAAGGGGACACCGAGUGCCAGCAUCAUAUGCUGGCUGUCCGGGUGUGUAAAAUACACCCGUUAGCAAGGGCCGGGCAAGACCGGUGCCAGCCGCCGCGGUAACACCGGCGGCCCGAGUGGUGAUCGUGAUUAUUGGGUCUAAAGGGUCCGUAGCCGGUUUGGUCAGUCCUCCGGGAAAUCUGACGGCUCAACCGUUAGGCUUUCGGGGGAUACUGCCAGGCUUGGAACCGGGAGAGGUAAGAGGUACUACAGGGGUAGGAGUGAAAUCUUGUAAUCCCUGUGAGACCACCUGUGGCGAAGGCGUCUUACCAGAACGGGUUCGACGGUGAGGGACGAAAGCUGGGGGCACGAACCGGAUUAGAUACCCGGGUAGUCCCAGCCGUAAACGAUGCUCGCUAGGUGUCAGGCAUGGCGCGACCGUGUCUGGUGCCGCAGGGAAGCCGUGAAGCGAGCCACCUGGGAAGUACGGCCGCAAGGCUGAAACUUAAAGGAAUUGGCGGGGGAGCAC
rnacentral:rRNA from 1 species